rnacentral:rRNA from 1 species
GAUGAACGCUAGCUACAGGCUUAACACAUGCAAGUCGAGGGGCAGCACAGUGUAGCAAUACAUGGGUGGCGACCGGCGCACGGGUGCGUAACGCGUAUCCAACCUUCCCGUUACUCUUGGAUAGCCUUCCGAAAGGGAGAUUAAUACAAGAUGGUAUUCAAAUUCCGCAUGUUAUUUGAAUUAAAGAUUUAUCGGUAACGGAUGGGGAUGCGUGACAUUAGGUAGAUGGCGGGGUAACGGCCCACCAUGCCUACGAUGUCUAGGGGUUCUGAGAGGAAGGUCCCCCCACACUGGAACUGAGACACGGUCCAGACUCCUACGGGAGGCAGCAGUGAGGAAUAUUGGUCAAUGGUCGGAAGACUGAACCAGCCAAGUAGCGUGAAGGAUGAAGGUUCUAUGGAUUGUAAACUUCUUUUAUACGGGAAUAAAACCUCCACGUGUGGGAGCUUGUAUGUACCGUAUGAAUAAGCAUCGGCUAACUCCGUGCCAGCAGCC